rnacentral:sRNA from 1 species
GGCCUAGACAUCAUCACCAACAAGGUUUCUGCCCAAGAGCAGAGAAUCUGCCGGCACCACAUGAUCAGCUUUGUGGAUCCUCUUGUGACCAAUUACACAGUGGUGGACUUCAGAAAUAGAGCAACUGCUCUGAUUGAAGAUAUAUUUGCCCGAGACAAAAUUCCUAUUGUUGUGGGAGGAACCAAUUAUUACAUUGAAUCUCUGCUCUGGAAAGUUCUUGUCAAUACCAAGCCCCAGGAGAUGGGCACUGAGAAAGUGAUUGACCGAAAAGUGGAGCUUGAAAAGGAGGAUGGUCUUGUACUUCACAAACGCCUAAGCCAGGUGGACCCAGAAAUGGCCGCCAAGCUGCAUCCACAUGACAAACGCAAAGUGGCCAGGUAAGAAAGCCUGGCCCGCUGACCCCAAAUUCCUUUACAACUAGCGAGCAGUCAGUUCUUCAGUUUGCCCAGAUGAUGAGAGAGAUUUGGUAAUAGCAGUUAGUGGAGAUUGAUGUGUUGUUCUAGCUCAGCAGGUUGGGAGGCCCUGAGUUAUUGCUUCAGUUCAACUCCCU